rnacentral:rRNA from 1 species
UACGUAGGCAGCAAGCGUUGUUCGGAUUUACUGGGCGUAAAGGGUGUGUAGGCGGUUCUCUAAGUUUGGUGCGAAAUCUCCCGGCUUAACCGGGAGGGUGCGCCGAAAACUGGGGGACUAGAGUGCGGGAAGGGAGAGUGGAAUUCCUGGUGUAGCGGUGAAAUGCGUAGAUAUCAGGAGGAACACCGGUGGUGUAGACGGCUCUCUGGACCGUAACUGACGCUGAGACACGAAAGCGUGGGUAGCAAACAGG